rnacentral:rRNA from 1 species
CUACGGGGGGCAGCAGUGGGGAAUAUUGGACAAUGGGGGAAACCCUGAUCCAGCAAUGCCGCGUGUGUGAAGAAGGCCUGCGGGUUGUAAAGCACUUUCGGUUGGGAGGACUGCUUCUAGCACUAAUAUUGUUGGAAGUUGACGUUACCUUCAGAAGAAGCACCGGCUAACUCCGUGCCAGCAGCCGCGGUAAUACGGAGGGUGCAAGCGUUAAUCGGAAUUACUGGGCGUAAAGCGCGCGUAGGCGGCUAGAUCAGUCGGGUGUGAAAGCCCCGGGCUUAACCUGGGAACUGCAUCCGAUAGUGUCUAACUUGAGUACAGGAGAGGAGAGUGGAAUUCCACAUGUAGCGGUGAAAUGCGUAGAUAUGUGGAGGAACACCAAUGGCGAAGGCAGCUCUCUGGCCUGAUACUGACGCCGAGGUGCGAAAGCGUGGGGAGCAAACAGGAUUAGAUACCCCUGUAGUC